rnacentral:rRNA from 1 species
AAGGAAUACUGGUCAAUGGGCGCAAGCCUGAACCAGCCAUGCCGCGUGAAGGAUGACGGCCCUAUGGGUUGUAAACUUCUUUUGUACGGGAAAAAACCACCGGUCGUGUAUCGGUGCUGAUGGUACCGUAAGAAUAAGCAUCGGCUAACUCCGUGCCAGCAGCCGCGGUAAUACGGAGGAUGCAAGCGUUAUCCGGAUUCAUUGGGUUUAAAGGGUGCGCAGGCGGAAUAAUAAGUCAGCGGUGAAAGCCUACAGCUUAACUGUAGAACUGCCAUUGAUACUGUUAUUCUUGAGUGUUGUUGAGGUAGGCGGAAUGUGUCAUGUAGCGGUGAAAUGCUUAGAUAUGACACAGAACACCGAUCGCGAAGGCAGCUUACCAAGCAACAACUGACGCUCAUGCACGAAAGCGUGGGGAUCAAAC